rnacentral:rRNA from 1 species
UACGAAGGGUGCAAGCGUUACUCGGAAUUACUGGGCGUAAAGCGCACGUAGGCGGAUUGUUAAGUCGGGGGUGAAAUCCUGGAGCUCAACUCCAGAACUGCCUUCGAUACUGGCGAUCUAGAGUCCGGGAGAGGUGAGUGGAACUGCGAGUGUAGAGGUGAAAUUCGUAGAUAUUCGCAAGAACACCAGUGGCGAAGGCGGCUCACUGGCCCGGUACUGACGCUGAGGUGCGAAAGCCAGGGGAGCAAACGGG